UACAUUACUGAGUUGCAAAACUCCAAACCACUGUGGACUUACUGUAUGUGUUGCCUCGGCAGGCCGCCCCAGGGCGGGGCGCUACAAGGCCUGCCGAAAAGCACCCAAAAACUCUUCUGUAACGUGUCUUCUGAAGCACUAUUAAAUAAAUAAAAACUUUUAACAACGGAUCUCUUGGUUCUGGCAUCGAUGAAGAACGCAGCGAAAUGCGAUAAGUAAUGUGAAUUGCAGACUUCAGCGAAUCAUCGAAUCUUUGAACGCACAUUGCGCCCGUUAGUACUCUGACGGGCAUGCCUGUUCGAGCGUCAUUUCAACCCUCAGGCCCAGCCUGGUGAUGGGGCGCCCGCGGUCUCGUGCCGCGGGGCCCUGAAAAGCAGCGGCGGGCUCUGCUGAUACCCGAGCGUAGUAAUUUUUCUCGCUUAGGGGGCUGGCAGGUGCCUUGCCUUGAAACAAUUCUUUUUAUUGUUGACCUCGGAUCAGGUAGGAAUACCCGCUGAACUUAA
rnacentral:rRNA from 1 species